UACGUAGGGGGCGAGCGUUGUCCGGAUUCAUUGGGCGUAAAGAGCUCGUAGGUGGUUUGUCGCGUUGUUCGUGAAAACUCACAGCUCAACUGUGGGCGUGCGGGCGAUACGGGCAGACUAGAGUGUGGUAGGGGAGACUGGAAUUCCUGGUGUAGCGGUGAAAUGCGCAGAUAUCAGGAGGAACACCGGCGGCGAAGGCGGGUCUCUGGGCAGUAACUGACGCUGAGGAGCGAAAGCGUGGGGAGCGAACAGG
rnacentral:rRNA from 1 species